GAGGAGGUGUCUUCAAAAGCAUCAAGGAAAAAAUAUCAAAUAUUUUGAUAUUUGAUAUCAAAUAUCAAAAUUUGCCAUGGUGCCCAGCAUGGUUCAAGAUCAUAAGUGUCAAGCACAUCAGGGCAAGAAUCUUCUGUUCCAUAUGCAACAUCUUCUGGCAGCCUUGUCCUUUUUCUGUCCUUGACGACUACAAUAACAAACAGCUGUUGCCGAGGCAUUGCUGUUGACGUGUUACCUUUGAAACCUCCCUCCUGUUAUGGAAUAAGCCUCUUCCAGAUCAUGGCUCAUUAUCAUCUAGUCUGACAAGCAGCCUUGUUGCCACGGAGACCCAAAGGGAUCAGGCGUGGCAUUUGCCUGCAUCAUCACCCCCUCCAGGGGAACUAUAAGGACUCUUCUGUGCGUCAUGCGUGGCUGUCCUGGGACUGGCUGCCACCAGACUUUUCCUGCGGGUAAAACCUAAACAAAUGAUCAGCUGCAGAUAAUAUCAAGACCUCUGUUUGAUAUGUUAAUAGUGACAGCCAGAUUUCCACAAUUAACAACGAGGUGGGAAGAAAACACUGUAGUCACCAGACUUGGGAGGAGAGGGUUUGUAUUCACAUAAACACAACCUCACGUCACUGCUUGCCACCACAAAGGGCUCUGUUCACUGUUUUGUUCUCAAAGAUCAUCCUUGCGCUCAUCCUCUGAUCUUGAAUUUCUACAUAACUUUCUCAGUUUAUAUGCCCUGUGGCAAGUGCAGCAAGCACUGUUUCCUGUUUCUAAACUUGUAGAAAAUCAUCCAUACAUCUUACAGUUGUCAGUUUUAACCAGAUAACAGUGGCACUUUGUUGCUGCUUUUUUAUCUUUAGCUUAGGUUAACAGGACCCUGGAAGUAAAGUUGUUGAUUUAUUCAAUAGAGUAUUCUCAAUUAAUUUGGCUAGAUUUCUACAUGAUUCAAAAUCUAAAAAAGUAGAAAUGCAUGCUUACAUGUCUAAGGCCUGAAAAAUUGGUAGUGACAUCCCAAAAUAAAUGAAGGUUUUAAAACA
rnacentral:lncRNA from 10 species